CUAUGAAAAUCCCCAAGCAGUCAUAACAAUGGUCAAUGAAUAUUUGCUUGUUUGUGUACUUCAGCUUGUUCUGGAAAGGAGCUGUGGUAGAGUAGUGAACACAAGCUAAAGAAACACCACGAGUGGACAUUCAGGACCAGAAAAAGGGCCAUUCACCCAGGAGGCCAACGUGGGAGAAAGUGAAAGGCUGUGCUCGGAGGGUGAGCAGCUGGAGGAGUAUUCUUCCUUGCAGUUUGUCCAAGACACGGGCAAACUUUUGAUGAAUCCGCAGGAGACCUGCCUUGUGCUGGCUAAUUUACUGGAACGCUGUUGGGGAAUAGGAACCGCAGGAAGACAAGUCUUGAUUUCCCAGGACCAGUGGAUGGGAAAACGGAGGCUGGAAAGGAGGAAAUUUGUUGCAGAAUUUCCCACAGUCAGCUGAGAGCAGGUUCAGCAAGCCCCAAAACCUGCACCUUACCAGUAAUGGACUCUCAACCCUGGGUGCACCCCAGAAAUGCCCAGCGAGUUAGAACAUACCGUGUGAAGCCAGAAAGCAGCUGUGCACAGAAGUCAGGCCAAAAAGCAGCAGACGAUGAGCCUCAGAGGGCAGCAGGCAUCUCUGUGAGUGAAGCAAGAGCCACCACCCUGUUCCCGAAGCCGAGUCCACACUGAACCUGUCCUCUC
rnacentral:lncRNA from 13 species